UGGUUUAAUUCGAAGCAACGCGAAGAACCUUACCAAAUCUUGACAUCCUUUGACAACUCUAGAGAUAGAGCCUUCCCCUUCGGGGGACAAAGUGACAGGUGGUGCAUGGUUGUCGUCAGCUCGUGUCGUGAGAUGUUGGGUUAAGUCCCGCAACGAGCGCAACCCUUAAGCUUAGUUGCCAGCAUUAAGUUGGGCACUCUAAGUUGACUGCCGGUGACAAACCGGAGGAAGGUGGGGAUGACGUCAAAUCAUCAUGCCCCUUAUGAUUUGGGCUACACACGUGCUACAAUGGACAAUACAAAGGGCAGCUAAACCGCGAGGUCAUGCAAAUCCCAUAAAGUUGUUCUCAGUUCGGAUUGUAGUCUGCAACUCGACUACAUGAAGCUGGAAU
rnacentral:rRNA from 1 species